rnacentral:rRNA from 1 species
CCACGCUGCCAAGAAAAGCGUCUAGAGAGAGAAGUAGUGCCCGUACCGCAAACCGACACAGGUAGGUGAGGAGAGAAUCCUAAGGCCGGCGGAAGAAUUACAGUUAAGGAACUCGGCAAAUUGACCCCGUAAGUUCGCGAGAAGGGGUGCCUACGAGAGUAGGCCGCAGAGAAUAGGCCCAAGCAACUGUUUAGCAAAAACACAGGUCUCUGCUAAAGCGUAAGCUGAUGUAUAGGGGCUGACGCCUGCCCGGUGCUGGAAGGUUAAGGGGAACACUUAGCGCAAGCGAAGGUGUGAACUUAAGCCCCAGUAAACGGCGGCCGUAACUAUAACGGUCCUAAGGUAGCGAAAUUCCUUGUCAGGUAAGUUCUGACCCGCACGAAUGGCGUAAUGACUUGGGCACUGUCUCAACUGUAAAUCCGGCGAAGUUGUAGUGCGAGUGAAGAUGCUCGCUACCCGCGAUUGGACGGAAAGACCCCGUAGAGCUUUACUGUAGCUUAGCAUUGAGUUUUGGUAUUGUCUGUACAGGAUAGGUGG